GUGAGGAAUAUUGCGCAAUGGAGGCAACUCUGACGCAGCCAUGCCGCGUGCAGGAAGAAGGCGCUACGCGUUGUAAACUGCUUUUAACCGGGAAGAAACCCCAGGACGUGUCCUGGGUUGACGGUACCGGAGGAAUAAGCACCGGCUAACUUCGUGCCAGCAGCCGCGGUAAUACGAAGGGUGCAAGCGUUAUCCGGAUUCAUUGGGUUUAAAGGGUGCGUAGGCGGAGCGUUAAGUCAGUGGUGAAAUCCUGCAGCUUAACUGUAGACUUGCCAUUGAUACUGGCGAUCUUGAGUGCGCUUGAAGUGGGCGGAAUGUGCCGUGUAGCGGUGAAAUGCUUAGAUAUGGCACAGAACACCAAUUGCGAAGGCAGCUCACUAAGGCGAUACUGACGCUGAGGCACGAAAGCGUGGGGAUCGAACAGGAUUAGAAACCCUGGUAGUCC
rnacentral:rRNA from 1 species